rnacentral:rRNA from 1 species
AAUGAACGCUGGCGGCGUGCCUAACACAUGCAAGUCGGAUGUGCCCGCAAGGGUGCAUGGCAGACGGGUGAGUAACGCGUGGGGAAUCUACCUUUUAGUGGGGAAUAACGCUCCGAAAGGAGUGGUAAUACCGCAUGUGACCAUCGGCUGGGAUGUUGAUGGUGAAACCCUGGGACCUUCGGGCCAGGGGCUAAAAGAGGAUCCUGCGUCUGAUUAGCUAGUUGGCGGGGUAACGGCCCACCAAGGCGACGAUCAGUAGCCGGCCCUGAGAGGGUGAUCGGCCACACUGGAACUGAGACACGGUCCAGACUCCUACGGGAGGCAGCAGUGGGGAAUUUUGCGCAAUGGACGAAAGUCUGACGCAGCAACGCCGCGUGGGUGAUGAAGGUCUUCGGAUUGUAAAACCCUGUCGCCAGGGACGAAGGGGAUGAGGUGAAUAGCCUUGUUCUUUGACGGUACCUGGAAAGGAAGCCCCGGCUAACUCUGUGCCAGCAGCCGCGGUAAGGU